AGCGGAAGUGCAUCUUUGUGUGCGCGUGGAGUAAAUGUGUGGAGCUAGACCUUUAUGGUGGCCUUUAAAAGAAGUUAUCUUAGGCCAGGUGGGGGCCCAAGCAUUUAAUCCCAAUAGAGGCAGGUAGAUCUCUAUGAGGUUGAGGCCAACCUGGUCUACAUAGUGAGUUCCAGAACAGCCAGGGCUGUGUUGAAACUUCCACCCCACUUCAAAAAAAAAUUUUUUUUAGCUUACUACCUGGAUUGGUUGUUGCCAUUCAUAUAUGAACUAUGUGACCACUUCAUUGAAGUUUUCUUAGUAGAACUGAGAUGGACCCUGGGCCCUGUGUGUGCUGGGCAGGCGUUCCAACCAUGAGCUUUAUCGCCAGCCCUUGCUUUAUUGUCUGUAAUGUGAUCAAGUUUUACAAAUGUUCUCUUGUUUUAAAAUAAUGAAUUAAGCUCCUCGGAGUGAUUUUCCCAGCUCACCAAAGGGCAGAGCUGGGCAGCAUCAUUGUAGGGCACAGCAAUGAGACUUGCUUCAUGUGGUGAUCCAAGUGUGUGCCCUCCCACUGCUGUGCCUGUGUCAGGCUGAGGCUGUCUUGAGCAGCUGUGAUUUGACUGACUGUGUUUAGGUAUAGUGAGGGUUUUUGUAAUUUGAUUUUUUUAUAAUUUAUUCACUUAAAGGAUAUAAUUCAUUAUAACCUUAUAGUAUUGAUUAACCAGAACUGAAUGUUACUAGAGAGAUCCCCUCCCUCCUUCCCUCUCUCGCCCUCCUUUCCUUCCUUCUUUCCUUCCUCUUCUUUAUGAGUGAGUGUUUUGCAUGCAUGUGUGUGAGUGCACCCCAGUGCCUGUGAAGAUCUGGAGAGGACGUUGGCUCUCCUGGAAGUGGAGUUUACAAAGUAUUGUGAUCUACCACAUAUGUGCUGGGAAUUAAACUUGGGUCCUCUGGAAGAACAACAAGUGCUCUUAACUGUUAAGCCAUCUCUCUAGCCCUUAGAGAAGUUUUCAGCGACACCAAGGAGACUCUAUUCCUCUUACUCUCUACCCCUGGCAGCCCUAGUUUAUUUUCUGUCCCUGAGAAUUUGCUGUAUUCUGGACGUUAAUGGCACCAUGCAACAUGCAGUCUUUUAUAAAUGUACUCCCCCUUUCCCUUCUCUUCCUCUUCCUUCUCCUCUUUCUCAUCCUCUUCUUCUCACCCCCCCCCCCCACUCCUUUUUCUUUCCAAGACAGGUUUUCAUUUGUGUAGCCCUAGCCCUGGAGCUUACUUUGUAAACUAGGCUGGACUUGAACUCACAGAGAUCUGCUUGCCUCAGCCUCCCAAGUGCUGGGAUUAAAGGUGUGCGCCACUGUCUUACAUUUCCCACUGUAUUGAUGCACCACAUGUUGUUUUGUCCUCUCAGCAGCCGAUGGGCAUUUGGAUGCUUCCACCUUUGUAUUUACAGAUGUCAUUUCUAGACACGCAGGUAUAAAUCUUAGUGUGACUGUUUCUUAUCCGAGGAGGUGUUUUAACGUAAGCAUCAUUCACUGACGGAGGGGAUACGACCCACAGCAGAAUGCUUUCAUUUGUAGUUUUUGGUGUUUGUUAGUGAGAAGAGGGUGGCCAAAGUUAAUUAUUGAACUUGUGUUAAUCACUCCUAUGGUAGCUUUUGUUGUUGUUGUUUUUCCGAGACAGGGUUUCUCUGUAUAGCUCUGGCUGUCCUGGGACUCAGAAAUCCGCCUGCCUCUGUCUCCGGAGUGCUGGGAUUAAAGGCGUGCGCCACCACGCCUGGCCUAUGGGAGCUUUUUACAUGUGAGCUCACUUACUGGUGUUAAUAGUUGUGAGACACGUAAAGGUUCCCUUUCCAGAAACAAAAUU
rnacentral:lncRNA from 1 species